rnacentral:rRNA from 1 species
CCUACGGGUGGCAGCAGUGGGGAAUAUUGGACAAUGGGGGAAACCCUGAAGCAGCGACGCCGCGUGAGGGAAGAAGUAUCUAGGUAUGUAAAGCUCCAUCAGUAGGGAAGAAAAUGACGGUACCUGACUAAGAAGCCACGGCCAACUUCGUGCCAGCAGCCGUGGUAACACGGAGGGGGCAAGCGUUAUCCGGAUUGACCGGGGGUAAAGGGAGCGUAGACGGCAGCACAAGGCUGGAGUGAAAUCCCGGGGCUUAACCCCGGAACUGCUGUGGAAACUGGGCGGCUGGAGUGCAGGAGAGGUAGGCGGAAUUCGUAGUGUAGCGGUGAAAUGCGUAGAUAUUAGGAAGAACACCGAUGGCGAAGGCAGCUUACUGGACUGUAACUGACGUUGAGGCUCGAAAGCGUGGGGAGCAAACAGGAUUAGAUACCCUUGUAGUC